rnacentral:rRNA from 1 species
GAUGAACGCUGGCGGCGUGCCUAAUACAUGCAAGUCGAGCGAAUGGAUUAAGAGCUUGCUCUUAUGAAGUUAGCGGCGGACGGGUGAGUAACACGUGGGUAACCUGCCCAUAAGACUGGGAUAACUCCGGGAAACCGGGGCUAAUACCGGAUAACAUUUUGAACCGCAUGGUUCGAAAUUGAAAGGCGGCUUCGGCUGUCACUUAUGGAUGGACCCGCGUCGCAUUAGCUAGUUGGUGAGGUAACGGCUCACCAAGGCAACGAUGCGUAGCCGACCUGGAGGGGGCAUCCGCCCCCAUGGGACUGAGUCACGGCCCAGGCGCCUGCGGGAGGCAGCAGUAGGGAAUCUUCCGCAAUGGACGAAAGUCUGACGGAGCAACGCCGCGUGAGUGAUGAAGGCUUUCGGGUCGUAAAACUCUGUUGUUAGGGAAGAACAAGUGCUAGUUAAAUAAGCUGGCACCUUGACGGUACCUAACCAGAAAGCCACGGCUAACUACGUGCCAGCCGCCGCAGUAA